rnacentral:rRNA from 1 species
CCUUGACAUCCAGAGAAUUUAGCAGAGAUGCUUUAGUGCCUUCGGGAACUCUGAGACAGGUGCUGCAUGGCUGUCGUCAGCUCGUGUUGUGAAAUGUUGGGUUAACGUCCGCAACGAGCGCAACCCUUAUCCUUUGUUGCCAGCACGUAAUGGUGGGAACUUAAAGGAGACUGCCGGUGAUAAACCGGAGGAAGGUGGGGAUGACGUCAAGUCAUCAUGGCCCUUACGAGUAGGGCUACACACGUGCUACAAUGGCGCAUACAAAGAGAAGCGACCUCGCGAGAGCAAGCGGACCUCAUAAAGUGCGUCGUAGUCCGGAUUGGAGUCUGCAACUCGACUCCAUGAAGUCGGAAUCGCUAGUAAUCGUAAAUCAGAAUGUUACGGUGAAUACGUUCCCGGGCCUUGUACACACCGCCCGUCACACCAUGGGAGUGGGUUGCAAAAGAAGUAGAUAGCUUAACCUUCGGGAGGGCGUUUACCACUUUGUGAUUCAUGACUGGGGUGAAGUCGUAACAAGGUAAGCGUAGUGCU